rnacentral:rRNA from 1 species
GACGGAGGGGGCUAGCGUUGUUCGGAAUUACUGGGCGUAAAGGGCGCGUAGGCGGAUUAGUAAGUUGGGAGUGAAAGCCCGGGGCUUAACCUCGGAACUGCUUUCAAAACUGCUAGUCUUGAGUGAAGUAGGGGAUGAUGGAAUUCCUAGUGUAGAGGUGAAAUUCUUAGAUAUUAGGAGGAACACCGGUGGCGAAGGCGGUCAUCUGGACUUCAACUGACGCUGAGGCGCGAAAGCGUGGGGAGCGAACAGG